GGAUGAGAGGCUUCGGCAAUGGGGGAAACCCUGACCGAGCGACGCCGCGUGGAGGAUGAAGGCCCUUGGGUUGUAAACUCCUUUUAUUCGGGAAGAAGUGCGAUCAGGUGAAUAAUCUGGUCGUUUGACGGUACCGGAUGAAUAAGCUCCGGCUAACUCCGUGCCAGCAGCCGCGGUAAUACGGGGGGAGCAAGCGUUGUUCGGAAUCACUGGGCGUAAAGGGCGUGUAGGCGGUCAAGUAAGUGGGAUG
rnacentral:rRNA from 1 species